rnacentral:rRNA from 1 species
AUUGAACGCUGGCGGCAUGCUUUACACAUGCAAGUCGAACGGCAGCGCGGGCUUCGGCCUGGCGGCGAGUGGCGAACGGGUGAGUAAUGCAUCGGAACGUGCCCAGUCGUGGGGGAUAGCGCGGCGAAAGCCGGAUUAAUACCGCAACCGACCUGAGGGUGAAAGGGGGGUACCGAAAGGCCCCGGCCUAUUGGAGGGGCCGAUGUCGGAUUCGCUAGUUGGUGGGGUAAAGGCUUACCAAGGCGACGAUCCGUAGCUGGUCUGAGAGGACGAGCAGCCACACUGGGACUGAGACACGGCCCAGACUCCUACGGGAGGCAGCAGUGGGGAAUUUUGGACAAUGGGGGCAACCCUGAUCCAGCCAUGCCGCGUGAGUGAAGAAGGCCUUCGGGUUGUAAACCUCUUUUGUUCGGGAAGAAAUCCUCUGGGCUAAUACCCCGGGUGGAUGACGGUACCGGAAGAAUAAGCACCGGCUAACUACGUG